GUGCUUACUUCGGCAGCACAUAUACUAAAAUUGGAACAAUACAGAGAUUAGCAUGGCCCCUGUGCAAAGGAUGACAUGCAAAUUCAUGAAGCCUUCCAUAUUUUU
ensembl:snRNA U6 U6 spliceosomal RNA